GACGAACGCUGGCGGCGUGCUUAACACAUGCAAGUCGAACGGAAAGGCCCUGCUUUUGUGGGGUGCUCGAGUGGCGAACGGGUGAGUAACACGUGAGUAACCUGCCCUUGACUUUGGGAUAACUUCAGGAAACUGGGGCUAAUACCGGAUAGGAGCUCCUGCUGCAUGGUGGGGGUUGGAACGUUUAGGCGGUUUGGGAUGGACUCGCGGCUUAUCAGCUUGUUGGUGGGGUAGUGGCUUACCAAGGCUUUGACGGAUAGCCGGCCUGAGAGGGGGAACGGCCACAUUGGGACUGAGAGACGGCCCAGAGUCCUACGGGAGGCAGCAGUGGGGAAUAUUGCACAAUGGGCGGAAGCCUGAUGAAGAAACGCCGCGUGCGGGAUGACGGCCUUCGGGUUGUAAACCGCUUUCGCCUGUGACGAAGCGUGAGUGACGGUAAUGGGUAAAGAAGCACCGGCUAACUACGUG
rnacentral:rRNA from 1 species